ensembl:lncRNA
CAGGACAUGAAGGUGGAAACUGGUCUUGUCCUUGAUUCCAGAAGUAUCCAGAAUAGGUACCUCUGUGAAGGGUCCAGACAGUGAGAGACUGCUGCAGCUGCGAGGCUGGCCCUGGGAGGUCCCCUGUGAGUCGGGAGGGGAUGGCCAAGGAGGACAUCACUAGCCCAGAGCGAGGAACAGCCUGACCAGCUCUUGCCUUGGAGAGGCCCCAGCGCCCUGUCCCCUGGGGUGAGACAUGCACUGGCCAGGAUAGAUGGGGUGUGUUCACAUACUCCGCCUCCCUUGAUUCUCACAUCAUCCCUGCCUCGCAGCGUCUCUGGUGUUUUGAUCAGCAGGCAAGCCCGGGAAAGUGAAGGAAGUCUGUGAGGGUCUCAGUGCCAGUGUGUGGUGGAGCCGUUGAACCCAGAACUUUGAGAUUCUACAGCCCACUGCUGCCCCGUGUUACCUGGAUGAUUACCUCUGUGUCAGAAUUCCCACACCUGUCCCCAAGGGGCAACCUACUGCAGGCCCCCAGGCCUCUGGAAAGGCCAGAACUAGGGCAGUUUGGGAGAACAUGAAGAGGAUUUGGAGGUGAGAGAUUUGCCUUUUGGAAAAGUUCCAAGUAAAGCCAGAGAUGAGACUGAUUAAGUGAUUACAGUUGGAUAAUUCUAACC